rnacentral:rRNA from 1 species
GAUGAACGCUGGCGGCGUGCCUAAUACAUGCAAGUCGAGCGAACGGACGAGAAGCUUGCUCCUCUGAUGUUAGCGGCGGACGGGUGAGUAACACGUGGAUAACCUACCUAUAAGACUGGGAUAACUUCGGGAAACCGGAGCUAAUACCGGAUAAUAUUUUGAACCGCAUGGUUCAAAAGUGAAAGACGGUCUUGCUGUCACUUAUAGAUGGAUCCGCGCUGCAUUAGCUAGUUGGUAAGGUAACGGCUUACCAAGGCAACGAUGCAUAGCCGACCUGUGAGGGUGAUCGUCCACACUGGAACUGAGACACGGUCCAGACUCCUACGGGAGGCAGCAGUAGGGAAUCUUCCGCAAUGGGCGAAAGCCUGACGGAGCAACGCCGCGUGAGUGAUGAAGGUCUUCGGAUCGUAAAACUCUGUUAUUAGGGAAGAACAUAUGUGUAAGUAACUGUGCACAUCUUGACGGUACCUAAUCAGAAAGCCACGGCUAACUACGUG